rnacentral:rRNA from 1 species
UACGGAGGGAGCUAGCGUUGUUCGGAAUUACUGGGCGUAAAGCGCGCGUAGGCGGCUUUGUAAGUUAGAGGUGAAAUCCCGGGGCUCAACCCCGGAACUGCACUCGAUACUGCCUUGCUCGAGUACUGGAGAGGAGACUGGAAUUUACGGUGUAGCAGUGAAAUGCGUAGAUAUCGUAAGGAAGACCAGUGGCGAAGGCGAGUCUCUGGACAGUUACUGACACUGAGGCACGAAGGCCAGGGGAGCAAACGGG